rnacentral:rRNA from 1 species
CCUACGGGAGGCAGCAGUGAGGAAUAUUGGUCAAUGGCCGGAAGGCUGAACCAGCCAUGCCGCGUGAAGGUCAGUGCCCUAUGGGCGUUAAACUUCUUUUGUGCGGGAGCAAUAAUGGUCACGUGUGGCCAGACGAGAGUACCGUACGAAUAAGCAUCGGCUAACUCCGUGCCAGCAGCCGCGGUAAUACUGGGGGUGCAAGCGUUAUCCGGAUUUAGUGGGUUUAAAGGGUGCGUAGGCGGUGAGGUAAGUCAGCGGGGAAAUGCCCCCGCUCAACGGGGUGAAGUGCCAUUGAUACUGGCUUGCUGGAAUGCGGAUGCCGUGGGAGGAAUGUGUGGUGUAGGGGUGAAA